rnacentral:rRNA from 1 species
UACGUAGGGUGCGAGCGUUGUCCGGAAUUACUGGGCGUAAAGAGCUCGUAGGUGGUUUGUCGCGUUGUUCGUGAAAACCGGGGGCUUAACCCUCGGCGUGCGGGCGAUACGGGCAGACUUGAGUACUGCAGGGGAGACUGGAAUUCCUGGUGUAGCGGUGGAAUGCGCAGAUAUCAGGAGGAACACCGGUGGCGAAGGCAGCUCGCUGGAACGGUACUGACGCUGAGGCGCGAAAGCGUGGGGAGCGAACAGG